AUCUCCGGCUAUUAUACUUGCUUGUAUUGAUAAUGCUAACGAGAAUAGUAACACUUGGAACCAUCUAGCGGUAAUAGUCGGUAUUACAAAGUGAUAUGCUUGCGACCUAGAAACAAUAUUACAGAACAAGCAUUUCGUCGGAACUCAAUGGAGUGAAUGUAAUACCCCUUGUUCCUCCACUGCGAGCAAUGCACUUAUCUUCACCAAAUACAUCAUAGGUAAGAGGACUGACAAACGGUACUGGUUCGGGAGCUGGCACAGCCGUAUAAUGAAGAACACAUGGAACUUUCCAAUCAAGAUUAAACCAAACCGCUUCUUGCGGUGUCACUGCAGA